rnacentral:rRNA from 1 species
UGAUGAACCCUAGCGGCAGGCCUUACAAACACAUGCAAGUCGAGGGGUAUUAGGAGCUUGCUCCUGAAGAGACACGGCGCACGGGUGCGUAACGCGUAUGCAAUCUACUCUUAUACAGGGGAAUAGCCCAGAGAAAUUUGGAUUAAUGCCCCAUGGUAUUAUAGAGUGGCAUCACUUUAUAAUUAAAGUUCCAACGGUAUAAGAUGAGCAUGCGUCCCAUUAGUUAGUUGGUAAGGUAACGGCUUACCAAGACAAUGAUGGGUAGGGGUCCUGAGAGGGAGAUCCCCCACACUGGUACUGAGACACGGACCAGACUCCUACGGGAGGCAGCACUGAGGAAUAUUGGUCAAUGGGCGCAAGCCUGAAGCAGCCAUGCCGCGUGCAGGAAGACGGUCCUAUGGAUUGUAAACUGCUUUUAUACAGGAAGAAACCCUCCCACGUGUGGGAGAUUGACGGUGAUGUAGGAAUAAGGAUCGGCUAACUCCGUGCCAGCAGCCGCGGUAAUACGAGGAUCCAAGCGUUAUCGGGAAUCAUUCCGUUUAAAGGGUCCGUAGGCGGUCUUACAAGUCAGUGGUGAAAUCCCAUCGCUCAACGAUGGAACUGCCAUUGAUACUGUAAACCUUGAAUACUUAGGAAGUAACUAGAAUAUGUAGUGUAGCGCAACAUGCUUAGAUAUUACAUGGAAUACCAAUUGCGAAGGCAGGUUACUACUAAGUGAUUGACGCUGAUGGACGAAAGCGUGCCAGCGAACAGGAUUAGAUACCCUGGUAGUCCACGCCGUAUCGAUGGAUACUAGCUGUUCGGAGCAAUCUGAGUGGCUAAGCGAAAGUGAUAAGUAUCCCACCUGGGGAGUACGCACGCAAGUGUGAAACUCAAAGGAAUUGACGGCGGGGGCACAAGCGGUGGAGCAUGGUGUUUAAUUCGAUGAUACGCGAGGAACCUUACCAAGGCUUAUAUGUAGUUUGACCGAUUUGGAAACAGAUCCUUCGCAAUUACAAGCUGCUGCAUGGUUUUCGUCAGCUCGUGCCGUGAGGUGUCAGGUUUUGUCACUGAACGAGCGCAACCCCUGUGUUUAGUUGCCAGCGAGUCAUGUCGGGAACUCUAACAGGACUGCCAGCGUAAACUGUGAGGGGGGUGGGGAUGACGUCUAAUCAUCACGGCCCUUACGCCCGGGCCACACACGCGCUACAAUGGACGGUACAGAGAGCAGCCACUGGGUGACCAGGAGCGAAUCUACAAAACCGUUCUCAGUUCGGAUCGGAGUCUGCAACUCGACUCCGUGGAGCUGGAAUCGCUAGUAAUCGGAUAUCAGCCAUGAUCUGGUGAAUACGUUCCCGGGCCUUGUACACACCGCCCGUCAAGCCAUGGAAGCUGGGCCUGCCUGAAGUCGGUGACCAUGAGGAGCUGCCUAGGGUAAAACUGGUAACUAGCCCUAAGUCUCAACAAGCUA